rfam:Rattus norvegicus chromosome 1, whole genome shotgun sequence.
GGGGAUUUGGCUCAGUGGUAGAGCGCUUGCCGAGGAAGCGCAAGGUCCUGGGUUUGAUCCCCAGCCCCC